rnacentral:rRNA from 1 species
GACGAACGCUGGCGGCGUGCUUAACACAUGCAAGUCGAACGGAAAGGCCCUGCUUUUGUGGGGUGCUCGAGUGGCGAACGGGUGAGUAACACGUGAGUAACCUGCCCUUGACUUUGGGAUAACUUCAGGAAACUGGGGCUAAUACCGGAUAGGAGCUCCUGCUGCAUGGUGGGGGUUGGAAAGUUUCGGCGGUUGGGGAUGGACUCGCGGCUUAUCAGCUUGUUGGUGGGGUAGUGGCUUACCAAGGCUUUGACGGGUAGCCGGCCUGAGAGGGUGACCGGACACAUUGGGACUGGGAUACGGCCCAGACUCCUACGGGAGGCAGCAGUGGGGAAGAUUGCACAAUGGGCGGAAGCCUGAUGCAGCAACGCCGCGUGCGGGAUGACGGCCUUCGGGUUGUAAACCGCUUUCGCCUGUGACGAAGCGUGAGUGACGGUAAUGGGUAAAGAAGCACCGGCUAACUACGUG